rnacentral:rRNA from 1 species
AAACUUAAAGGAAUUGACGGGGGCCCGCACAAGCAGCGGAGCAUGUGGUUUAAUUCGAAGCAACGCGAAGAACCUUACCCAGACUUGACAUCUCCUGAAUUAAUCGUAAUGGAUGAAAUCCCUUCGGGGACAGGAAGACAGGUGGUGCAUGGUUGUCGUCAGCUCGUGUCGUGAGAUGUUGGGUUAAGUCCCGCAACGAGCGCAACCCUUAUCAUUAGUUGCUAACAUUUAGUUGAGCACUCUAGUGAGACUGCCCGGGUUAACCGGGAGGAAGGUGGGGAUGACGUCAAAUCAUCAUGCCCCUUAUGUCUGGGGCUACACACGUGCUACAAUGGUGGGAACAAAAAGAUGCAAGACCGCAAGGUGGAGCUAAACUCAAAAACCCAUCCCAGUUCGGAUUGUAGGCUGAAACUCGCCUACAUGAAGCUGGAGUUGCUAGUAAUCGCAAAUCAGAAUGUUGCGGUGAAUACGUUCCCGGGCCUUGUACACACCGCCCGUCACACCAUGAGAGCUGGUAACACCCGAAGUCCGUGAGGUAACCUUUAUGGGGCCAGCGGCCGAAGGUGGGAUUAGUGAUUGGGGUGAAGUCGUAACAAGGUAGCCGUAGGAG